CAUGGCUGUCGUCAGCUCGUGUCGUGAGAUGUUCGGUUAGUCCGCUAACGAGCGCAACCCUCGCUGUAUGUUACAUGUGUCAUACAGGACCGCCGGUAUCAAGCCGGAGGAAGGUGGGGAUGACGUCAAGUCCGCAUGGCCUUUAUGUCCGGGGCUACACACACGCUACAAUGGUCGGUACAAUGGGUUGCUAAGCCGCGAGGUGGAGCCAAUCCCCCCAAAGCCGGCCUCAGUUCAGAUUGCAGGCUGCAACUCGCCUGCAUGAAGCUGGAGUUGCUAGUAAACGCGCGUCAGCUAUAGUGCGUUGAAUACGUUCUCGGGCCUU
rnacentral:rRNA from 1 species